rnacentral:misc_RNA from 1 species
AACUUUUGACAAUGCAUCACUUGGCUUUCGCAUCGAUGAAGAACGCAGCGAAAUGCGAUAAGUAAUGUGAAUUGCAGAAUUCAGUGAAUCAUCGAAUCUUUGAACGCACCUUGCGCUCCUUGGUAUUCCGAGGAGCAUGCCUGUUUGAGUGUCAUUAAUAUAUCAACCUUCUCUUUUUGAGUGGUUUGGAUGUGGGGGUUUGCUGGCCUCUUAAAAAGGUCUUGGCUCUCCUGAAAUACAUUAGCAGAACAACCCUGUUCAUUGGUGUGAUAACUAUCUACGCUAUUGAAUGUGAAGGGCAGUUUGGCUUUCUAACAGUCCUUGGACAAGCUCAUCAUUAAUGUGACCUCAAAUCAGGUAGGACUACCCGCUGAACUUAAGCAUAUCAAUAAGCGGAGGCU